rnacentral:rRNA from 1 species
ACUCGAGUGGCGAACGGGUGAGUAACACGUGGGUGAUCUGCCCUGCACUUCGGGAUAAGCUUGGGAAACUGGGUCUAAUACCGGAUAGGAGCCAUCUUUAGUGUGGUGGUUGGAAAGUUUUUCGGUGUAGGAUGAGCUCGCGGCCUAUCAGCUUGUUGGUGGGGUAAUGGCCUACCAAGGCGGCGACGGGUAGCCGGCCUGAGAGGGUGACCGGCCACAUUGGGACUGAGAUACGGCCCAG